rnacentral:rRNA from 1 species
UUCCAGACUCCUACGGGAGGCAGCAGUGGGGAAUAUUGCACAAUGGGGGAAACCCUGAUGCAGCGACGCCGCGUGAGUGAGGAAGUAUUUCGGUAUGUAAAGCUCUAUCAGCAGGGAAGAAAAUGACGGUACCUGACUAAGAAGCCCCGGCUAACUACGUGCCAGCAGCCGCGGUAAUACGUAGGGGGCGAGCGUUAUCCGGAUUUACUGGGUGUAAAGGGAGCGUAGACGGCCAUGCAAGCUCGGUGUGAAAGGUGCGGGCACAACCCGCAGACUGCACUGAGAACUGUAUGGCUGGAGUGCCGGAGGGGCAGGCGGAAUUCCUGGUGUAGCGGUGAAAUGCGUAGAUAUCAGGAGGAACACCGGUGGCGAAGGCGGCCUGCUGGACGGCGACUGACGUUGAGGCUCGAAAGCGUGGGGAGCGAACAGGAUUAGAUACCCUCGUAA